GUAGUCCACGCCCUAAACGAUGUCAACUAGCUGUUGGGUUCUUCGGAGCUUGGUAGCGCAGCUAACGCGUGAAGUUGACCGCCUGGGGAGUACGGUCGCAAGAUUAAAACUCAAAGGAAUUGACGGGGACCCGCACAAGCGGUGGAUGAUGUGGAUUAAUUCGAUGCAACGCGAAAAACCUUACCUACCCUUGACAUGUCUGGAAUCCCGAAGAGAUUUGGGAGUGCUCGAAAGAGAACCGGAACACAGGUGCUGCAUGGCCGUCGUCAGCUCGUGUCGUGAGAUGUUGGGUUAAGUCCCGCAACGAGCGCAACCCUUGUCAUUAGUUGCUACGAAAGGGCACUCUAAUG
rnacentral:rRNA from 1 species